rnacentral:rRNA from 1 species
AUGCCGGCAGUUGUUUUCAAGCGCCAUUGGCACCUUAUGGGGGACAAGAUAGUGGAGGAAGUGCUAGCUGUACUGAAUGGAGGAGAAAUCCCGGAAGGAUGGAAUGAUACAAUGGUUGUGCUCAUACCAAAAGUCAAAAACCCGAGAAGAAUCAAGGAUUUAAGGCCUAUUAGCCUCUGCAAUGUGGUGUAUAAGUUGGUAUCAAAAGUCAUUGCGAACAGAUUGAAGAUAAUCCUCCCGGACAUCAUUUCAGACAAUCAAAGCGCGUUUGUGCCAGGAAGACUCAUCACGGAUAAUGUUCUUAUAGCAUACGAGCUAUCCCACUACCUGAUGAACAAGAGAACUGGAAAGGUUGGAUAUGCGGCAGUCAAAGCAGACAUGAGCAAAGCCUAUGACAGGGUAGAAUGGUGCUUCUUAGAGGCCAUGAUGAGCAAGCUAGGCUUCAAAAGAAGUUGGGUUGAUCUAGUAAUGAAAUGUGUGAGGACCGUGCGCUAUCAGAUUAAGGUUAAUGGUACACUUACUCAACAGUUCAGUCCGUCGAGGGGCCUUCGGCAAGGAGAUCCGGCGUCCCCCUAUCAGUUUGUCAUUUGUGCGGAAGGGCUAUCGGCAGCGCUGAUGGACGCAGAACGGAAGGGUGCAUUGCAUGGAGUUAAGAUCUGCCCAAGGGCGCCGUGCGUCCCACACCUCUUUUUUGCAGACGAUUCCAUGUUGCUAAUCAAAGCGGAGCAACGUGAAGCUGCGGCUCUCCACGAUGUUCUACAAUUGUAUGAGGACUGCUCCGGGUAG